rnacentral:rRNA from 1 species
UACGAAGGGUGCAAACGUUGCUCGGAAUUAUUGGGCGUAAAGCGCACGUAGGCGGCAUUGCAAGUCGGAUGUGAAAUCUUAUGGCUUAACCAUAAAAGUGCAUCCGAAACUGCAGUGCUUGAGUACUUAAGAGGAUCGCGGAAUUCCCGGUGUAGAGGUGAAAUUCGUAGAUAUCGGGAGGAACACCAGUGGCGAAGGCGGCGAUCUGGGAAGAUACUGACGCUGAGAAGCGAAAGCAUGGGGAGCGAACAGG